GACGAACGCUGGCGGCGUACUUAACACAUGCAAGUCGAACGGAAAGGCCCUGCUUUUGUGGGGUGCUCGAGUGGCGAACGGGUGAGUAACACGUGAGUAACCUGCCCUUGACUUUGGGAUAACUUCAGGAAACUGGGGCUAAUACCGGAUAGGAGCUCCUGCUGCAUGGUGGGGGUUGGAAAGUUUCGGCGGUUGGGGAUGGACUCGCGGCUUAUCAGCUUGUUGGUGGGGUAGUGGCUUACCAAGGCUUUGACGGGUAGCCGGCCUGAGAGGGUGACCGGCCACAUUGGGACUGAGAUACGGCCCAGACUCCUACGGGAGGUAGCAGUGGGGAAUAUUGCACAAUGGGCGGAAGCCUGAUGCAGCAACGCCGCGUGCGGGAUGACGGCCUUCGGGUUGUAAACCGCUUUCGCCUGUGACGAAGCGUGAGUGACGGUAAUGGGUAAAGAAGCACCGGCUAACUACGUG
rnacentral:rRNA from 1 species